AAAAUAUAAACGGUCUUUGAGCAAGAAACCUAUAAAUAUGAAUCUUAUGAAGAAACACUGAUUUACAAAUGUAUAGUGGAAAAACAAAUGCAUUUUCAUAAGAACUACAGGUUACCAAAGAUAAGAAAUGAAAUAUUCUCUUAAUUAUAAUAGGGAUUUUAUUAUUUGAAUUUAGGUGGGUUUUUUUUUUUCUUCCCACAAAAUAAAUAUUGUGUUAGCUACUAAAAACUCAUAGCUGACUUCUACAUCUCAAUACCAAAAUAUUUUCACAGUUUAUAGGCUAAUUCUUCUUACAAUUUGUGAUUUCCUUGACCGUUCUCCACGAUUCACAGCCCUAGUGUGGAAUGAACUGUCUAAAAAUAUCACUUUCUGCCCGUUUUGUGCACAUUUUGCCCUUCCUAUAUUAUAAAUUAAUGAUGAUGAUAUGUUGUUGGCCCACCUGUAUAUCAGCAGUUAUAUUAGUCAGCAAGCAUCACUUUGGUUUUAGCCUAAACCAGGGGUCCUCAAACUCCGGCUCCCCAGAUGUUGCUGAACUACAACUCCCAUGAUUCUCUGGCUAUCUAUGUAAUUCAAAGAAUCAUGGGAGUUGUAGUUCAGCAACAUCUGGGGGGCCAGAGUUUGAGGACCCAUGGCCUAAGCAAUAAACCAUGCCCCUAUUGAACUGUAAACUUAAAAUCACAAAAACGUGUCCAUUGCAAGUAUUUGAUAGAGAAAUUGUGGUUUUUUUUGCAGUAUUGAUAAAGGGCAAGGUUCAUUGUUCAGUAUGUCCCGUAAACCCGUUUUCUGCAAUGUCCUGUUGUAGUGUAGAUUUUAACUGGAAAAUAUACAUGCCAGUAGAAAAUUCAACAAGUCAGAUAUUAAACGGGCCUCUGCGUUAGGCAAACUAGCCCGCUUGCUCUGGUCACCAUGUAUAGCUGCUGAACUUUUCUAAUUUAGAAAACAUAACAUUCAAGUUUUAUUUUC